CCGGCCCCGGGCAGCCCUGAGGCGGCCGCCGGGGGCGGACGAGCGCUGGGGAAGCGGCGGCGGGCCCGGCCCCCGCCCGGGGCUCUGGUGGCGACAGCUGGGAAGAGCUGGCCAAGAGGCAGAGGGAGGUUUAGUGGCAACAGAAAGCACUGUGGCUGACUGUCAACUACAUUACUAUCAGUUUUCUCCAAAAACAAGGAGUAAAGCCUUGUGUGUUUACCUGUGCCGCCUUUGCUGCUGGCUUCCAAUCUUUGAGUAUGGACAAUUUAAGGGUAUUUAUUGCACAAUCAAGGAACUCCAGCAUAUCAAAAGGCAAGAUGCCAUCUAGGUCUUACCAGGAACUGAGUCAAGACCUGCAGCCUCCAGCUGAGCUAUACAGCUACCAGGGAUGUAGAAGGUGGCUCCGUGUUCUCAAUGCCCCUUACACUGUCACAUAAAUUCCUCUUCUGCAUGUGCAUAAAAAUGGAAUUUCAGGCAAUGUUAAUAAAACCUCUAAAAUGACACCUCAUGCAGCAAACCCUUUUCAUUCCUCUUUGCACAGCCAGGUUUCCUUUUUCUUACUGAGCUCAUGGUGUUCAGGGAAAGAGCUGAACGUUAUCCUGUCCAGCACAGCGCCCCAACAUUUAACCAAAUCCAGUUUCAGAAUCUUAAUCUGGCAAUUUAAGGAUAAGGUAAACAAAUACCACAGCUGCCUCACAGCACCAACUGAGAAAAGAAAAGAAUUCUUGUAAACCAGUUUGCAUGGUGUAAACCUGAUGCACAGAGGUAAAUCUCACAUGGUAUUUUCUGUUACAAGCAUCUCUUCUGUUGAACAGCUAUUGCUCCUCAGAAAAUAUUCAAAGGGCUAAACUCCAUUUUCAAGGACAAGGCUAACAGAAUUCAAGGGUGGAGAUUCUCCUGUUUUCCUUCCACACUCUGCUACAACCUACUGUUUUCACAGCCCUC